ACUCCUGCGGGAGGCAGCAGUGGGGAAUAUUGGACAAUGGGCGCAAGCCUGAUCCAGCCAUGCCGCGUGAGUGAUGAAGGCCCUAGGGUUGUAAAGCUCUUUCACCGGUGAAGAUAAUGACGGUAACCGGAGAAGAAGCCCCGGCUAACUUCGUGCCAGCAGCCGCGGUAAUACGAAGGGGGCUAGCGUUGUUCGGAUUUACUGGGCGUAAAGCGCACGUAGGCGGACUAUUAAGUCAGGGGUGAAAUCCCGGGGCUCAACCCCGGAACUGCCUUUGAUACUGGUAGUCUUGAGUUCGAGAGAGGUGAGUGGAAUUCCGAGUGUAGAGGUGAAAUUCGUAGAUAUUCGGAGGAACACCAGUGGCGAAGGCGGCUCACUGGCUCGAUACUGACGCUGAGGUGCGAAAGCGUGGGGAGCAAACAGGAUUAGAAACCCUUGUAGUCCCAUGA
rnacentral:rRNA from 1 species